rnacentral:rRNA from 1 species
CGGAACGCGCUCACGGCCAAGGUAUCCCUGGCCUCCGGGACGCCGUGGUGGCUGACGACGGUCUACGGACCCCAAGACGACGCGGAUAAAAUCUUGUUCCUCCAAGAGCUGCGCGAUAUUCGGGUGGCUUGCCCCAGCCCAUGGAUGCUAUGUGGUGAUUUCAACCUCAUAUACCGCGCCGAGGACAAGAACAUGGGUGGCCUGCACCGGCGCAUGAUGGGUAGAUUCCGCCGUGCCAUCAAUGACCUCGCCUUGAAGGAGAUAUAUCUUAACGGGCGUCGCUUCACAUGGUCAAAUGAGCAAUCGCCGCCCGCGUUAGUGCACCUGGAAUGCGUCCUUUGCAUGUCAGACUGGGAAGAUGCGCACGGCGAAUGCCACCUCCGGUGCCUCGCUUCGGUCGUGUCGGAUCACUGCCCGCUGCUGCUUGAUUGCUCCCCCAUGCUGGUUGUGCACAAAUGCUUCCAUUUCGAGGACUAUUGGCUCAGACUUGACGGCUUCCACGACACCGUUACCGCGGCGUGGAGCUCGGUGCAUGAUGAUGACCCGUUCUGGCGGCUGGUCAAACGUCUCCAGGCCACUGCUCGCCGCUUAUCAAGCUGGAGCGCCAAGGCCACGGGCAACAUUCGAGACAAGCUCGCC